GUUGAACGCUGGCGGAAUGCUUUACACAUGCAAGUCGAACGGUAGAGGGGGCAACCCCUUGAGAGUGGCGAACGGGUGAGUAAUAUAUCGGAACGUGCCCAGUCGUGGGGAUAACGUAGCGAAAGUUACGCUAAUACCGCAUACGAUCUAAGGAUGAAAGCGGGGGAUCGCAAGACCUCGCGCGAUUGGAGCGGCCGAUAUCAGAUUAGGUAGUUGGUGAGGUAAAGGCUCACCAAGCCGACGAUCUGUAGCUGGUCUGAGAGGACGACCAGCCACACUGGGACUGAGACACGGCCCAGACUCCUACGGGAGGCAGCAGUGGGGAAUUUUGGACAAUGGGCGCAAGCCUGAUCCAGCAAUGCCGCGUGCAGGAUGAAGGCCUCGGUUGUAACGU
rnacentral:rRNA from 1 species